GAAGGCUUUUGACUCCUUGCGAGGAAUGCUGAGUAGCAGGAGCGUCCUUGCUCAUUAUGAUGAGUCGAAGCCGCUGGUCCUGGCAUGUGAUGCCUCUCAAUACGGCCUGGGGGCGGUGCUGAGUCAUAGGGAACCGGAUGGGUCGGAAAAGCCCAUCUCUUUCUAUUCCCGUACGUUGUCGCCCACGGAGCGCAACUAUGCUCAAAUUGACAAAGAGGCGCUUGCAAUUGUGGCAGGAAUCAAAAAGUUCCAUGAUUAUGUGUAUGGUCGCCAUUUCUCCAUUGAAACGGACCACAAACCACUGUUAGGGUUCUUCAACCCGAACAAACAAACGCCACAAAUUCUCUCCCCCAGAAUGUUGCGUUGGUCUAUAUUCCUGAACGGGUUCCAGUACACCUUGACCCAUGUGCCGGGGAAACGGUUGUGCCACGCUGAUGGGCUUCAGCAAAUGAACCAGGGUCUGCUAGUCCUCAGGAUGACGAGGUACAGGUAGGGGACCCUGCGAUGUCUGGGACUCCAUCUGUUCCUGACGAAACCCCUAUAGCACCCCCCCUACCACAGGUAACAUCCAAUCCAGAACCGGCAACACCUGUUGUCAGGAGAUCAAGUAGAAGUUGUAGGACCCCACAGUACCUGAGAGAUUACGUCUGCGGUGCUCACUAGGGGGGGAGGGGUGUUGUGUAUUGAGUCAAAGGAUUUUAUAUCUGUAUUAUUAUUGUCUGUAUUUGCAUUAGGGUAAAGUAACUGCCUUUUGGUUCCAGAGGGUACAGCUACUAUUGGUUCAUUUAAGCUGCUGUAUUUGGAUCCUCUGUCUUACUGGUUUCCUCCAAAAGGCAGGACUGUGAUUGCCUGAUAUUGUUCCCUCCAAAAUGUAUCCUUUCUAGCUAGUUCCCUGUCCCUAUAAAUGUAGCUCUCCCCUCCUCAGGUCUCAGUCUUGUUUGCUUUAAUAAAGAAGUGUUACUACAGAA